GACGGAGGGUGCGAACGUUGUUCGGAAUUACUGGGCAUAAAGAGCACGUAGGCGGUUCGCUAAGUUGGGUGUGAAAGCCCCCGGCUCAACCGGGGAAUUGCUCCCGAUACUGGCGGACUAGAGAUCGGUAGGGGUGAGUGGAACUCCAGGUGGAGCGGUGAAAUGCGUAGAUAUCUGGAGGAACACCGGUGGCGAAAGCGGCUCACUGGACCGACACUGACGCUGAGGUGCGAAAGCUAGGGUAGCGAACGGG
rnacentral:rRNA from 1 species